ACUAGGGGUUAACACACUGUAGGGGACAACACUUAGGGUAAACACACUGUAGGGGACAACACUUAGGGUAAACACACUGUAGGGGACAACACUUAGGGUUAACAUACUGUAGGGGUUAACACACUGUAGGGGACAACACUUAGGGUUAACACACUGUAGGGGACAACACUUAGGGUUAACACACUGUAGGGGACAACACUUAGGGUUAACACACUGUAGGGGACAACACUUAGGGUUAACACACUGUAGGGGACAACACUUAGGGUUAACACACUGUAGGGGACAACACUUAGGGUUAACACACUGUAGGGGACAACACUUAGGGUUAACACACUGUAGGGGACAACACUUAGGGUUAACACACUGUAGGGGACAACACUUAGGGUUAACACACUGUAGGGGACAACACUUAGGGUUAACACACUGUAGGGGACAACACUUAGGGGACAACACUUAGGGUAAACACACUGUAGGGGACAACACUUAGGGUAAACACACUGUAGGGGACAACACUUAGGGUAAACACACUGUAGGGGACAACACUUAGGGUAAACACACUGUAGGGGACAACACUUAGGGUAAACACACUGUAGGGGACAACACUUAGGGUAAACACACUGUAGGGGACAACACUUAGGGUAAACAUACUGUAGGGGACAACACUUAGGGUAAACACACUGUAGGGGACAACACUUAGGGUAAACAUACUGUAGGGGACAACACUUAGGGUAAACAUACUGUAGGGGACAACACUUAGGGUAAACAUACUGUAGGGGACAACACUUAGGUUAAACACACUGUAGGGGACAACACUUAGGUUAAACACACUGUAGGGGACAACACUUAGGGUAAACAUACUGUAGGGGACAACACUUAGGGUUAACACACUGUAGAGGGCAACACUUAGGGUUAACAUAGUAAACACACUGUAGGGGACAACACUUAGGGUUAACAUAGUAAACACACUGUAGGGGACAACACUUAGGGUUAACACACUGUAGGGGACAACACUUAGGGUAAACACACUGUAGGGGACAACACUUAGGGUUAACAUUGUAAACACACUGUACGGGACAACACUUAGGGUUAACACACUGUAGGGGACAACACCCUCUUCCUGCCUCCUCCGGUA